GAUGUCCUAAGUCCAAAUAUGCAAAAAUCUGGGAUCGUCAUAUUUUCCCUCUGUUAUAACAGCCAAGAAUGUAAAAAUGAAAGAAAAAUUCAAAAGUUGUGCUUCAAAGCUAAAUUUCAAAAACAAAUGCAAAUGUAUAAACUUAAAAAGAAAAUUCGUAGAAAAACUAAAAUAAUAAUAACUAAUAACAAUGUCGAUCAUCAUCAUCAGACACAUGAAGUGACAUAUGUAGAAACUUGUUGACCAAUUGUUUGAUGAUAAUCGAUAACAAUAACUUAAGUUGUCAAAUUUUCCUUAUUAUAGUGUUUUAAAAAUUAUGACGACAAAUAUUUAUUUCAAUUAAGUCGUCGUACCUACAAUACAGUACUGUACCUUUCGCAAAAAGUAUUGCUGCUCUGUUUGAGUUGCUCUGUACUGCAGUACAGAGCAACUCAAAAAUAAAGCCAGCUUGUAAAGCUGGCUUUAUUUUUGAGUUCUGCAAUAAAACACGAAUAAUAAAGUUCCACUAGAGAAAAGUCUGAUAAAUUUUCGUUGGUUUUUUUAAUAUUCUUCUUCUUUCUUCCGGCGUUGAUAUGGAGAUUUUUUUUAAUAUUGGCAUUUGUGACGUCAUAAAUGGAGUGUACUGGCCUUGAGAUAACGAUGGCCACGGCUCACCACCCUUCCACUCCUUUGCAAACCUGGCCGAACCAUAAGAGCCUGGAAAAAUCCCUCAAUAUGGAGUGCCACGAAAUAUAGUGCUGAGCAGCACCAUAAUACUUCUUACAUGUAAAGCGCAGUAACUACAUUAAAAAAUGAGGUCCCGUAAGAAAAAAAAUUACCAAGUUGGGAUGCCACAAUUAGAAAAUGGUUGAAAAAUAAUGGCAUAAAAAAUGCAAUUCAACACAAUAUAUGAGGAAUAUGCCAAGGGGGCUGUAGUAUGGAAGCUAGCCUCUAUUUAGGUGUAGCCUCGUGAAGAAAACUCGGAAAACUCACGUAAUCAACCUGUUAAAUGAGGGGCGAACACUUGACCAAUAACCAGUAUUCAGUGGUUUUAAUACUUAUUCUCAGAUGUAUAAUCCAAUUUGUUACAAUAAUCCAUCUGAAGCUGUCUUGAUAUUAUUAUGCAUUAAACAAGUGGUGGAGAUGAUUUCACACUACGAUUAAAUUAACAACCUUUUAAAACAGGACUCCCUAAAAUGGUCUUUAUGGCAUUUUCUAGAGUCGAUUGAAAACGAUUCAUUAAAAUUAUUAGUGUAAUGGGCUGUGUGGAUGACAGUUCAGGAUAUAAAUUUGCACACUAAGUAGAUCCUUUCAAUGAAAACGGUGUAUGGAUUAAUACUGACUCAGUAGAUUUAAUUAUUAACUGUAUUAGCAAAAAGAAAAAAGGGUCAAUAAAAGAUCGAGAAAUCCUUGAAGGAAUCGACAGUCAAAAAGUUUGGGACCCCGUCUUAAAGUAUUUUAUGUUACCUUCAUAUAUAUUCGUUGCCAAUGAUGAGAUUGAAUACUAAUACCAUCAGAUUUACCAUAAUCAAUUCUGUUGAUUUAAGUGUUGGGAAUGGUUCUCGCGACUUCGAAAGCGCUUAUUUAUUUAUAUUUUAUUUUUUUAAAUUAAGACAUAGGUGGACGAACAAAUGUCCGGAAAAUUUGGAGAAUGGAAGAAUAUGGAAUAAUCGAGAUAUUCUCGCUUAGACAUCAUCAUUACGUAGAAGGGUAUCGUUAAGCAAUGUGCAAAAUUCGGCCCAUAUAAGAUGAAAAUUGAAUUUUUAAUAACGUUACAAUUUGAUGAAGAGAACUUUGUCGUUUGUUGUUUAGGUUCAAAUAGGUUCUUACCAUGACUAAAUGAUGGACAGUAUAUACAUCAGAAUCUCCAUAAUAAACACGAAUACCUCUGACAGUAAAGCCAAAUCCUCUAGCUCCUCGCCUGAUAAUGAUAGGUGGUUUCAAUUGAGCAAUUAGUGGACUUAAUUCUCGACUUGGAGAUGUAUCUCUGGAACUAGUGCUAGAACCUCCAGGUGAACCAAUUGGCUGAGCACCAAAAGUGCCAGACAUAUCUUCUGCAUGCUGUGAAAUAUCAUCAUAACAGAUUUGGUUGCAUUUGAAAUGGUAAAUCUCUCUCUAAACUAUGGGUGGUCAACCUAUGACAUGCAUGCCUAAAGUGGCUCAUAAGGAGAAAGCAUC